rnacentral:lncRNA from 1 species
CUAUGUUAGUGUUGGGCUCACAGUUCUGUGAGAUUUGGGGCAAUUCUUUAUUUUGCUAGAGUGGUCAAUGCAUUGCAUUCCUGGUUUAUGUUCAUUAAUUCAAUAUUAUCUUCCAGUCAUUGAAGCCAAUUCCACCACAGCAUUUGAAAACACUGCUGUGGACAGACCUGUCUGUUGAGAGACCUGAAUCUCAACAAACACCAGUGACAGCCUUGAGCCUACCUGUCAUCGGUGCUUCCACUCAUCAGUUCUCCUGGAUAUCAAGACUCUUAGAAAACUCUGGGGACAUUCUCUCGGCCUCUGAUUCUGGUGGCAAAACUCAGUGAGAUUGUGGAUCUCAUCAGCACCACUCUCUGCAUCCCUGAAGUCCAACUACUUUGCAUAACACAAUGCUAGGUGUAUGUACCAGGAGAGAUUUAAAUGUGAGAAAGAUGGGGAGUCUUCAUUUGUAGCUAUCAUGAAUGACCCUGGCUUACACUAGAUUCUGAAGGAUCCCCAGAAGAGAAAAGCAAAGCCUCAGCACAGGAGCACCAAGAAGAGCCCAGGUAGGAGCCCUGAGCCACCUGCUUGCAAUUUGCUUGUUAUAGGAGGGCAAGGUGAUUGAUACCAUAGGAGGAUCUUUUGUUCUCUUUCUGAAGGUGGCCUAGUGGGAUAAAUGUGGGCUUGAGAAGCAAAAGACUGGGAAUUGAUUCUAAGCUCUACAAUUAAGCAGCUGUGGGAUUUUGAACAAGUAACAACCUCUCAGCUUCAGUCACUUAUCUGAAAAAAAAAAAAAAAAACCUGGCUUUUUAGAGAUCAGUU